GCAACAACUAGCAUGGGUUGCUAAUGACUAGGAUUGUGGCAUUGGCUACUGGACAAUUAAAUCAAAUUCAUUUGAAAACCAAUAGAAGAUUAGAGAAAAAGGCUACUGGUUUCAAUGGCAUAUAGAAGUCUUUAGAAAAUAAUAGCCUCCACGUUUGGUUGGAUUUUGCCUAGUCCAGUCAAGGUAAAACAUGCCUCACAAUAUGCAGUAAAACGCUCAGGUUUCAAACAAAUAAGGAUAUGUCAUCAAAACGGAUACUGCCUCCAGUUCAUUGCAAAGUGGUGUGUGACGCGCUGAAGCCUGCCUAGUUGCCUAUACACUUGAAUGGCAAAUGGGAACCAAGCUUUAAUUACCAGUUGAGAAAUAAAAAUGUAUUUUUAAUCGUGGCCAUAGUCUUUUUAAAUGCGAUUGACUUUAGAAUUGUUGUGCAAUGACUGGUCUUAUUAAAGCACAUAUUUCACUCCAGCAGCAACAAACAGCUGUUUGAGCUGUAUCAGCAGCUCUCACGCUACAUCCACUGGUAUUUACAUCAAUGAAGGAUAAAAUGCAUUAUUUCGCAAAGGGAUUUUUUUCCUCUCUCUCUCCCAGACAAUUGGCUGGCACCAAUAAUUAUUAUUAUAUAUUUUUUAAACAAAAGCCGGCUAUUACCGUCUAACGGAAACCCUGUGGCAAGUAAAGUCCAGGCCUGGAGCUCCCGCUGUGCACUCAGACAGCUCAGCCCACAGACAGACAGUACAAUAAACACACACACCCAGACCAGCCGGUUAUAUAAGAGCGCCGCUCUGUUCUACGCUGCACAGCCACCACGCCAGAUUAUGCAACAGGUGCAUAUGUGCUGGUAAAUUGUCUCUCCCGGACUGCCCGAGCGUUGUGCGAAAGCACACCCACACUCUUGUAUGCAUGCACUCACGCUCUGGAAAGCUCACACACGCUCUUGUAUGCAUGCACUCACGCUCUGGAAAGCUCACACACGCUCUUGUAUGCAUGCACUCACGCUCUGGAAAGCUCACACACACUCUUGUAUGCAUGCACUCACGCUCUGGAAAGCUCACACACGCUCUUGUAUGCAUGCACUCACGCUCUGGAAAGCUCACACACGCUCUUGUAUGCAUGCACUCACGCUCUGGAAAGCUCACACACGCUCUUGUAUGCAUGCACUCACGCUCUGGAAAGCUCACACACACUCUUGUAUGCAUGCACUCACGCUCUGGAAAGCACACCCACACUCUCGUAUGCAUGCACUCACGCUCUGGAAAGCUCACACACACUCUUGUAUGCAUGCAAUCACGCUCUGGAAAGCUCACACACACUCUUGUAUGCAUGCACUCACGCUCUGGAAAGCUCACACACACACUCUUGUAUGCAUGCACUCACGCUCUGGAAAGCUCACACACAUGGGGAAGUGUGCAACGUAUAAGCCUGCACGCACACAGUCAGUCAACAGAGACAGAGGUUUAUCUUAAAUCCAUUGUCUUGUAAACUAUGUUUAGUAAAAUUGUGUUCACUAGUAAUUACACAUAGCUGUUAUGACACAAAGCAAAAAAUCCAUCCUACUACUCAAAGUCUAUAUUCCUGUCAGUUCCAACUGACAACACUAAAAUCUAUUCUGUUUACUCUCCAGCCCUAUUUCACUAUUGAUAAGCAGAGUGUCUGAAGAGAACAGCGGGUAAUGAUAAAAUGAACCAUCUGUCUCAUGCUGUAACUACCACUGGGUGAUAACUACACAGUGGGAAAAAAGGAUUGUACUGACGUCAUUAGAAUGUAUUUUAUUAAUUUGUGGACAGGUUGUAUACUGGCUGUAUAAAGAGGUUCUCACGACCGUGGGACACAGAAUUGACCUGAAAAUGACUGAGGCCAGUCAGGUGUGGGUAUUGAAGGGGGCCAGUUAGGUGUGAAGGGGGCCAGUUAGGUGUGAAGGGGACCAGUUAGGUGUGGAUGGGACCAGUUAGGUGUGGGUAUUGAAGGGGACCAGUUAGGUGUGGAUGGGACCAGUUAGGUGUGGGUAUUGAAGGGGACCAGUUAGGUGUGGAUGGGACCAGUUAGGUGUGGGUAUUGAAGGGGACCAGUUAGAUGUGGAUGGGACCAGUUAGGUGUGGGUAUUGAAGGGGACCAGUUAGGUGUGGGUAUUGAAGGGGACCAGUUAGGUGUGAAGGGGACCAGUUAGGUGUGAAGGGGACCAGUUAGGUGUGAAGGGGGCCAGUUAGGUGUGAAGGGGGCCAGUUAGGUGUGAAGGGGGCCAGUUAGGUGUGAAGGGGGCCAGUUAGGUGUGAAGGGGGCCAGUUAGGUGUGAAGGGGGCCAGUUAGGUGUGAAGGGGGCCAGUUAGGUGUGAAGGGGGGCAGUUAGGUGUGGGUAUUGAAGGGGACCAGUUAGGUGUGGGUAUUGAAGUGGGCCAGUCAGGUGUGGGUAUUGAAGUGGGCCAGUCAGGUGUGGGUAUUGAAGGGGGCCAGUUAGUUGUGGGUAUUGAAGGGGACCAGUUAGUUGUGGGUAUUGAAGGGGACCAGUUAGUUGUGGGUAUUGAAGGGGACCAGUCAGUUGUGGGUAUUGAAGGGGGCCAGUCAGGUGUGGGUAUUGAAGGGGACCAGUUAGGUGUGGGUAUUGAAGGGGGCCAGUUAGGUGUGGGUAUUGAAGGGGGCCAGUUAGGUGUGGGUAUUGAAGGGGGCCAGUUAGGUGUGAAGGGGGCCAGUUAGGUGUGAAGGGGGCCAGUUAGGUGUGAAGGGGGCCAGUUAGGUGUGAAGGGGGCCAGUUAGGUGUGAAGGGGGCCAGUUAGGUGUGGGUAUUGAAGGGGACCAGUUAGGUGUGGGUAUUGAAGGGGGCCAGUUAGGUGUGAAGGGGGCCAGUUAGGUGUGAAGGGGACCAGUUAGGUGUGAAGGGGACCAGUUAGGUGUGAAGGGGACCAGUUAGGUGUGAAGGGGACCAGUUAGGUGUGAAGGGGACCAGUUAGGUGUGAAGGGGACCAGUUAGGUGUGAAGGGGACCAGUUAGGUGUGAAGGGGACCAGUUAGGUGUGAAGGGGACCAGUUAGGUGUGAAGGGGACCAGUUAGGUGUGAAGGGGACCAGUUAGGUGUGAAGGGGACCAGUUAGGUGUGAAGGGGGCCAGUUAGGUGUGAAGGGGACCAGUUAGGUGUGAAGGGGACCAGUUAGGUGUGAAGGGGACCAGUUAGGUGUGAAGGGGACCAGUUAGGUGUGAAGGGGACCAGUUAGGUGUGGUUAUUGAAGGGGGCCAGUCAGGUGUGGUUAUUGAAGGGGGCCAGUCAGGUGUGGGUAUUGAAGGGGGCCAGUCAGGUGUGGGUAUUGAAGGGGGCCAGUUAGGUGUGAAGGCUUAGGAGGGUGGGGUGCUGCAGGGGAACAGAGUAAAUGGGCAGAGAUGCCAAGGUAACCUGCCCAAAUAACUAUACUGUUGCACACAUCUACAGUCGUAUGAAAAAGUUUGGGCACCCCUCUGAGGCUGCAUAAUAAUUUACUCUGUCGUUACGGAAAAUGAUCACAGUGGCAUGCCAUUCAUUUUCUAAUAAAAGCUGAGUACUGGGAUAUUGUCCAGACAAAGAUUUUUAGUGUAGCAAUAUUAAGUCGUAUGAAAUUAAAUUAGAUGAAGGAUGGUGAGAACGGUCAAAAACAGCCCACAGACCACCUCCAAAGACCUACAACAUCUUGCUGCAGAUGGCGUCACUGUGCAUCGUUCAACAAUUCAGCGCACUUUGCAAAAGGAGAAGCUGUAUGGGAGAGUGAUGCGGAAGAAGCUUUUUCUGCACACACGCCACAAACAGAGUCGCUUGAGGUAUGCAAACGCACAUUUGGACAAGCCAGCUUCAUUUUGGAAUAAGGUGCUGUGGACUGAUGAAACAAAUAUUGAGUUAUUUGGUCAUAACAAGGGACGUUAUGCAUGGCGGCAAAAGAACACAACGUUCCAAGAAAAACACUUGCUUCCCACAGUAAAAUUUGGUGGUGGUUCCAUCAUGCUGUGUGGCUGUGUGGCCAGUGCUGGUACUGGGAAUCUUGUUAAAGUUGAGGGUCGCAUGGAUUCCACUCAAUAUCAGCAGAUUCUUGGGAAUAAUGUUGAAGAAUCAGUCACAAAGUUGAAGUUACGCCGGGGAUGGAUAUUUCAACACGACAACGACCCAAAACACUGCUCAAAAUCUACCCGAGCAUUUAUGCAGAGGAACAAGUACAAUGUUCUGGAAUGGCCAUCCCAGUCCCCAGACCUGAAUAUCAUUGAG